CAUUCGUUCAUCAUUCCUUUCCCUCCACUCACAUGGAGGCUCAACUAGAACAGGGAUUUCUGUGUUUUGGUUCAGGGAGGCAUCCUCAGUCCCUAAAAUACUGCAUGUCAUGUAGGAGACCAUUGAUGGAUAUUUGUUGGAUGACUGAAUGAAACCAGCAAUGUUGGGGCCAGGAAGGCACAGGUGACCACACUAGAAAGAGAGCGGAAUUGCCCAGGGUCUACCAUGAGUCAGCGGCAGCUCCAGGCCUCCCACGUUGCCCCUGGUUCAGAAGGCUGUGAGCUGCUGCUGCAGCCUCAUACUUGGAUGUCUAGACCAGCCUCAGACUAGGAUGCAAGACGAGACCUCGACUAUGAGUUCUGAGCUGCCAAGUAGAACAACUCUCAAUUCUCUGAGGCCACCAUGUUGUGAUGAAGCCCAAGCCAUAUGAAGCUACAGCCUUGAGAAGAAAGUCUGGAGGAGAAAUGGCUGGUCCAAGGUCACACAGUUGCUGGUAAAGACAAGGGCAUCCUCCAAAGGUGGAUCAUCCUCAUAUUGUCUCCUCUGGCCAGGCUGCAGCAGAUGGAGUCAUAACCUCCAGAUUGUCUGUCUCCAUUAUGUAUUUCCCAAGCCAGAGAACACAAUUCCCAUCAUGGUUGGAAGCUGAAACCAGGUUUGGCUAGGAAGGGCAUUUCCUCCCUCAGGCACUGGGCUGGAUGCUGGAGCUGGGCGGGGAACGUGAACGACCUGCCUGGUUCCAUGAGAACGGUUGUGUCCCUAUCCAGGUGUUUCAUCCUUGCAAAGGAAUGAAGCCCCGAGCCCUGGGCAGGUUUCAGCAGCUCAUGGGGAAGCCACCUGACCUUGCUGGCUGGCAGGGCUUCUCUGUCCCUUCCCAGUUGUCAGGCCAUUCCCUGCCCCAGGCACCAGGUAAGGACUGCAUAGUGAGCAACCGCGCCCGCACUGUCAUGCUGAGGCCCAAACAUGUGCAAAUUCUGCAUCUGUACCCUGUCACCAGUUUAUUAAA